AACUUAAUGAUGAUUGUCUAUUUGAUUGCUUGAUGCAAUGUGAAAACCACAUUUCACCGGCUCUGAGAGUU
rnacentral:snoRNA from 14 species